rnacentral:lncRNA from 1 species
UAGUCAUGGAUAUCUACGCAGUACAUCUCGAGUCAAAUUCUUCGUGCAAUUAGGUUUUGAAUUGAGUUAUUUUGUUUUCUUUUAGAUCAUGCUCUACAUUAUUUAUAUCACUGAUCUUUGAAUUGGUUCCUCUCCCCAUUUAUUGUUGAAGAUCCUUAUUCAGUGAAAUUCCGUUCCAAUCUUGAUCAACAAAUCUGAUUUGAUGCUUAAUUGCUGUGACAGGUUAUGUGCUACUAAUUACGGC